rnacentral:rRNA from 1 species
ACGUGGACAAUCUAACCUAAGGUGGGGGAUAACCCCGGGAAACUGGGGAUAAUACCCCAUAGACUAUGGGUGCUGGAAUGCUCUGUAGUUGAAAGGUCCGCCGCCAUAGGAUGAGUCUGCGGCCGAUUAGGUUGUUGUUGGGGUAACGGCCCAACAAGCCUGUAAUCGGUACGGGUUGUGGGAGCAAGAGCCCGGAGAUGGAUUCUGAGACACGAAUCCAGGCCCUACGGGGCGCAGCAGGCGCGAAAACUUUACAAUGCGGGAAACCGUGAUAAGGGAACUCCGAGUGCCCGUAAAAUCGGGCUGUCCACCAGUGCAAAUAACUGGUGAAGAAAGGGCCGGGCAAGACCGGUGCCAGCCGCCGCGGUAAUACCGGCGGCUCGAGUGGUGGCCACUAUUACUGGGCUUAAAGCGUUCGUAGCUGGUCUGUUAAGUCUCUGGGGAAAUCUACUGGCUUAACCAAUAGGCAUCUCAGGGAUACUGGCAGACUAGGGACCGGGAGAGGUGAGGGGUACUCCAGGGGUAGGAGUGAAAUCCUGUAAUCCUUGGGG